rnacentral:rRNA from 1 species
AUGGCCUCUGAGCCCCUGUCGUCGGGCCAGUCUUCGCCAUGCAGCCCGGAGUCGUCUGUCCCGAGCUCACCUGAGGUGAUUCCUGCAUCUCCGGCGACCGUCACGUCUCCGUCACCUUCGCCUCCGCCGGCUCCUGCUGCUGCUCUACGUCCACAUACGCGCAGUCAGAGUGGCAUUUUUCAGCCUAAACAACGUCACGAUGGCACAGUUGCUUGGUUAGCGGCGUGCAUGUCUGCUGCUCUCGCAGAUCCAUCCUCUGAGCCACGCACGUAUCAAGCUGCUAUGCGCAUUCCUCAUUGGAGAGAGGCCAUGGAGCAGGAGUAUCAAGCGCUUCUUCGCAAUCAGACAUGGACUCUUGUUCCUCCACAAUCACGGGUAAAUGUCAUUGAUUCCAAAUGGGUUUUCAAAGUGAAGAGGCAUUCUGAU